CCUACGGGUGGCAGCAGUGAGGAAUAUUGGUCAAUGGACGCAAGUCUGAACCAGCCAUGCCGCGUGCGGGAAGACGGCUCUAUGAAUUGUAAACUGCUUUUGUACGGGAGUAAACGCAGGUACGCGUAUCUGUCUGAAAGUAUCGUACGAAUAAGGAUCGGCUAACUCCGUGCCAGCAGCCGCGGUAAUACGGAGGAUUCGAGCGUUAUCCGGAUUUAUUGGGUUUAAAGGGUGCGUAGGCGGUCGGAUAAGUUAGAGGUGAAAUCCCGGGGCUCAACUUCGGAAUUGCCUCUGAUACUGUUAGUCUAGAGAUUAGUGGAGGUAUGCGGAAUGUAUGGUGUAGCGGUGAAAUGCUUAGAGAUCAUACAGAACACCGAUUGCGAAGGCAGCUUACCAAG
rnacentral:rRNA from 1 species